rnacentral:lncRNA from 10 species
AAGCCUCAAGGCCUCACCUGCAGGUAGCCACACGCAGGGCUGUGUGGAGGACCGAGUGAGAUCAUGCCUGUGAAGUGCCCAGGACUGUGCCUGAUUCACAGCAAGGGUUCCAUGUUGCCUAUAAUGAACAUUAUCUCUAGAGACCACAGACUCUGAUGGGCCAGGAACACGGGUGAGCCUGAGACUAGGCGGACGCAUGGAGCUGGGACAGCCAGAGAAGUUCCCCCAAGAAGUCAGAGGAAGGAAAGUCUGCUGAUGCCUACUGGCUCCUCAUCUAUGUUCAUUGUGUCAUAGCUGCUCUCAGAGCCUUGUCCAACCUUUACCAACAACCUCAUGCCAUGGCCACUGUUGGGUCUGGUUUGCAGGUGAGGAGCUAGAGCUGGCAUAAAUUACCCAAAUCCUACACACAGAGGGGCCAAACCCAGAGAUUCAACCUUGUCCAUUUGACCCCAAGUCUUGAGCUCUUGCUCUACAUCCCCUUAUUUCCCAAGGGAGUAGAUUAAGAAGCAGCACCAUGAGCUAAAGGCAUGGAUGCUAGAAAAGCUUCAGGUAAAUUAUCAGGGGAUGGCCGACAAGGAAACCUAUAGGAGCUUGGGGACAGGGAGGUCCAGGGAGGCUGGUUGGGUUCAGGGAGGCUGGUCCUCAGACAGAUGGGAGCAGAGAAAGGGAGAGCCCUGUGGGGCAGGGGCCAGACUGAUUACAAGACAGGGGCCCGGCAGGGAAAGGCAGGACCCUGGGGUGGAAGGAGGGGCCUGGACCUGGAGACAGGGGCUGUCAUGUUGGCCUGGGGCCCGAGGGUGAGUGGAGGCUGGGCCAGCACGCUCCUCCACUCAGGGGCCUGUCCAGGGUCUGUGAGGUGUGAAAGGGCACCUGACAAUGGGCGUCCAGGGACUGCAGAGAAGGGCCCAGGUCAGGCCUCAGGCUGCUGGUCACAAAAGGCCUCGUGUGACUCAGAUGUCCGCUUGCUCCUGGACGGCUUUCUCAGGCUGGGAACGAAGCAGCUGGGCAGCUUCUAGUUCUACCUGCAGAGUCACUUUCUCGUGUGUUUGUUUCAUGUCUUCUGAACGGCGGGAGCUGCGAGGGCUACUGGAAGUUGAGAAGUUAUUCUGCUGGGACGUGGCCAUGCCCGGGAACCAGUAGCUCCGUAACAGCACCUGAGCCUGCAGCCUGCCAAGCCCCUGGCGGGAGGAGGAGAGCCUUCAGGGAUUCCCCAGGAAGCCACCUGAGCAGGACUAGGGUGGAAACAUCGGAGAGUGAAGGAACAGCCUCUCUCUUGGGAGGAGUGUGAUCAAGAGGAAUGAGGAGAAGAAUGAGGUCAUGAAUCCCAACACAGACAGGUGAUCAUCUUCUUAUUCAAACGUGUAUGUCAGAACCUGACUUAGGGAUGGGAAGUUAGAAAAUAAAAUGAGAAAAGUGGAAAGCUGAUUUCCUGCAGCCUACUUCCAUCAUUAACUCUUGGAGGCUUGACAAUCCUUGUUGGAAAGCAGUCACCCAGGCAGUAAACGCUGACUAAUUGAUGUGUUAAUAAAAGUGGACAUUGUGUAACAUUCCUAAUAUGUUAAUAGUGUGGUUUGCAAAACAUUUUAAAAUUACUUUAAUGAAAUAUUUGAUUAAACGUAGGUUUAAUUUAAAAUUUCACAUUUUUAAUCAAGGAG